AGGGCUCAACCUUGGAACUGCAUUUGAUACUGGCAAACUAGAGUAUGGUAGAGGAAUGGGGAAUUUCUGGUGUAGCGGUGAAAUGCGUAGAGAUCAGAAGGAACACCAAUGGCGAAGGCAACAUUCUGGACCAAUACUGACACUGAGGGACGAAAGCGUGGGGAUCAAACAGGAUUAGAUACCCUGGUAGUCCACGCUGUAAACGAUGAGUACUAGCUGUUGGAUUCGGUGUAAAGGAUCUAGUGGUGUAGCUAACGCGUUAAGUACUCCGCCUGGGGACUACGGCCGCAAGGCUAAAACUCAAAGGAAUUGACGGGGACCCGCACAAGCGGUGGAGCAUGUGGUUUAAUUCGAUGCAACGCGAAGAACCUUACCUGGUCUUGACAUCCUGCGAACUUUCUAGAGAUAGAUUGGUGCCUUCGGGAACGCAGUGACAGGUGCUGCACGGCUGUCGUCAGCUCGUGUUGUGAAAUGUUGGGUUAAGUCCCGCAACGAGCGCAACCCCUAUUGAUAGUUACCAUCAUUAAGUUGGGUACUCUAUUGAGACUGCCGCUGACAGGGCGGAGGAAGGUGGGGACGACGUCAAGUCAUCAUGGCCCUUACGACCAGGGCUACACACGUGCUACAAUGGGUAUUACAGAGGGCAGCGAAGUAGCGAUAUGGAGCGAAACUCAGAAAGGUACUCUUAGUCCGGAUUGCAGUCUGCAACUCGACUGCAUGAAGUCGGAAUCGCUAGUAAUCGCAGGUCAGAAUACUGCGGUGAAUACGUUCCCGGGUCUUGUACACACCGCCCGUCACACCAUGGGAGUGGGUUGCUCCAGAAGUAGAUAGCUUAACG
rnacentral:rRNA from 1 species